UUUCUUUGAGAAAUGCAAGACAGAUCCUCAAUAUUGGAACAAGAUUUCAACAACAGGCCUGCAACGUAUAUACGAAUGGUAAUUGCAUGACAUGAACUAAAUCAUCACAAAUCUCACCAUAUAAAAUUUCCCAUUAUCACUGGACAAUGCUUCAUUAUCUUGCAGCUAUACAUGGAAGAUUUAUGCAAAUAAGGUGUUGAACAUGGGAUCCAUUUAUGGGUUUUGGAGUAAGCUAAACAAGGAACAGAAGCUUGCCAAGCAAAGAUACAUUGGAACAUUUUACAAUCUUCAGUUCAGGAAUUUGGUAAGUUUCUUACUUAUUGUCAGGAUUUUGUUCAAAUCAAAUGCAACUUGCCCUACUACAUUUUAGGGUUUAUGCAAUAGAAAAAUAAGUAAAAGUCUAUCCUACGCUGCAAUGUAUCUACAGUGUCAGUUUAAGCACAUAAAGACAACAAUUUUGGGCCAUUGUCUUACACCCAUUCUUGUAGUAGUGUCGAUUUGACUAAGCUACUGUAUUUUGCAGGUGAAGGACGUUCCUAUUGCAAGUGUUGAACCCCGAACACAGCCUUCCUCAUCGUCGUCAGCUGCAACUAGAGAACCUCAAGAACGAGCACCUAGUGCUACAAUUAAACCUCAAAAAUCAAAACCCACUCAGAAAGCUAAAGCCAAAGAAGAAGCUCCGAUGGAGAUUCCUAAACCUCAGACAACACCUAGGCAUGUGACUAACUCUGCCCAAAUCAAAUUUAAUCAUGAACACAUCAUAUAAAGAAUUUUCUGCGAAUUUCAGGGUACUCGGUUGAUUCUUGAAAAAGAUUAUAGCUUCUACGUUAACCCACAAAGAAAUUUUCUUUGCAGGCAAGAAGAAACUGAGAAGAAGCAACUUGUUCCGACACAAAGCAAUAGAGUAUGGAUAUCUUGGAGUUGGUGGUUCCUGAUGAGUACUUCUCUUUUUGCUGUCUGGUACGUGCUAAUGAAGUUGUAUGGCUUAUUCAGACAAUGAGAAGGUCUUGUUAGAACAGAAUCAUCAGCACUGCAAUUAAAUCAAGCAAAGAUGCAAUUACAAUAAUUGGCUCAGACAUUUCAAGGCCAUGAUUGUUUCUUGGGAUAGAAAUACAAUGUAAUAAAUUAUCUUCCUCCGCUAGUCGCUUCUUGUAUAUUUUCACAACCAACAGGAAAACAGUAUGGAUAAAAUGCAUUCUUUUCUACAAUUGUACACGGUUCACCUUUUUUUUUGUCAAUUAUCUUUUUUAUUAGGAGAUGGGGCGGUGGGACUUGAAUUUGAAUUGAGUUACACAUGCCAUUAUCCCUGGAGCCAAUCCAGGCUUACACGGUCUCUUUUCUGAAAACUUUUAUAGAAGAACUUUUGACUGAUUCUAGACCCACCCAGUCAAACUAAUGCUGAAAAAGUCACCCUAAGUAUGAUUUUCUAUUAAAAAAUAAAAAAAAAAAAAGAAAGAAAGACAAAUGUAAAGUUAAAUUAUUCCGAAGAAUGGUCUGUUCCAGGCGUUGCCCUUUCAUUUAAAAUCUACUGAAUUUGAGAAUUAGAAAAAAAAAAAAAGAAAAAGAAAUUGAGAAUAAGACAAGUCCCAGAAUUCUGCGCUGGUUUAGCUGCUCAGUUUCCUUUAGCUUUACAAAUCAUCCAACAAUCAGCAUUUUUCUUUCUUAAUUAUGUGGAAGCUUAAACUGAUUUAAGAUUAUUUUUAAUCAUAAGUAUUAAUUCUUAUUUAAAAAAAAAAAUUAUUUCAUUUAAAUUAAUUUAUUUUCAAGAAAAUUUAAUUUUUGAAAAAUACACUUUCAGGGAAAUUAUUAAUAAUUAUUAAAAAAAAAGGAAAAAGAAAAAAGAGAAUUCUAAUUAAUAAGGUCAAAGUAAUUAUGUGGGAAAGAAGACUCUAAAAGGAAGAGCAUCGAUGAAAGCCAAUGCAAAAGCAUCUGUAUAUUUAAAAAGGCUAAGUGAGAAUGUUACUUUGAUCCAUCUUUACCAGGUCAGAUGUCCUAAUCUGAGUAUAAAGCAACAUAUUUACUUGUCUUGCUCAUGCCACUAGCUCAGCUCUAGCUAUAUAAACACACCCAUUUCUGACCUUGCAUGCAUCACAAUUCUCUCUCGCUAUCACAAACAAUCAAACACAUGGAGAGCAUUUCUAGUGCAUGCUACGACAGCAUCAAGAGGUACUGGAGGAGGAGGAGAUACCAAAGACUUGGAGGAGGAAACAACAACAGAAGGAAGCUGAAGACCAUAAGGCUUGGAGGAGCUUCUACUCGGCGGCUAUGGAAAAUAAAAACAACUCCGAAAUUGAAGUGGAAACUUGUCUCGCCCUACAGGCUUUUGAUCAAUUUUCAUGAAGCUUAUGCGGAGAUGAUGAUUCGAGUAGCAAACGGCAUUGGGAAAUUGAACAACAAGGGAUGGUUAGGAGGAAACAAGAAGGUUGCGAAAGAGAAAGAUUCGAUGGUGUGGUGUGGAGAAGAAGUAAUAGAUACUAGGUUAGUUGUGGGAAUCUAUAAGAGAUUGGAAGCUUCUGGUAAGCUGAGAGGCUACUGAUCAGUAUAAAUAUAUAUCUUUAAUUUUAUGUUGUACGAAUUAUCUUAUGAAAAGAAAAGGUUAUGAGAAAAAUCUCUCCCUGCAAAAAAUUGGGAGAAAAGAAGACAUGUGAACUAAAUUAGCUUGAAAAUCCCUCUAUAGAAAAUAUGCAUCAAUGAUUUUGUUUCUUAUUUAUUGCUAUAACAUUUAAAUUUUAAUUUUACUAA
rnacentral:lncRNA from 1 species